rnacentral:rRNA from 1 species
GAUGAACGCUAGCGACAGGCUUAACACAUGCAAGUCGAGGGACCGGCGCACGGGUGAGUAACACGUAUCCAACCUGCCCUUUACUCGGGGAUAGCCUUUCGAAAGAAAGAUCAAUACCCGAUAUAAAGGAUGGGGAUGCGUUCCAUUAGGUUGUUGGUGAGGUAACGGCCCACCAAGCCUUCGAUGGAUAGGGGGUCUGAGAGGAAGGUCCCCCACAUUGGAACUGCGGCACGGUCCACACUCCUACGGGAGGCAGCAGUGAGGAAUAUUGGUCAAUCGGCGGUAGCCUGAACCAGCCAAGUAGCGUGAAGGAUGAAGGCUUAUGGGUCGUAAACUUCUUUUAUAUAAGAAUAUGUAUUAUAUGAAUAAGGAUCGGCUAACUCCGUGCCAGCCGCCGCGGUAAUUC